rnacentral:rRNA from 1 species
AUACCGGCUGCUCGAGUGAUGGCCACUAUUACUGGGUUUAAAGCGUCCGUAGCUUGACUGUUAGGUCUCUUGGGAAAUCUUUUGGCUUAACCAAAAGGCGUCUAAGAGAUACCGGCAUUCUUGGAACUGGGAGAGGUAAGCCGUACUUCGGGGGUAGGAGUGAAAUCUUGUAAUCCUCGAGGGACGACCUAUGGCGAAGGCAGCUUACCAGAACAGCUUCGACAGUGAGGGACGAAAGCGGGGGGAGCAAACGGGAUUAGAUACCCCGGUAGUCCCAGCCGUAAACAAUGUGCGUUAGGUGUGUCGGUUACCACGCGUAACUGAUGCGCCGAAGAGAAAUCGUGAAACGCACCACCUGGGAAGUACGGUCGCAAGGCUGAAACUCAAAUGAAUUGGCGGGG